GAGAAUGGAAACUUAGGAUAUCAUAACCUGCCACUGUGGCAGUCUUGUAAUUCAAGCAUGAAGUACGACUGUACCAAGAUCCGUUGGAGAGCGAUGGGAUCCUGGACCAACAAGUACCUGAAUGUGUUGUCAUCACAUCCUGCCACUGCAUGUCACUGUGCUGAAGAGUGGACAGCCCAUCAAAUUCUGGCCUGAAGUUAUCCCUUGUUAUGAAUCUACUGCAACAACCAAUUGGAAUGUUCCAGCUCUUUCUCCACCUGCAGUGCCAUUGGUAUCAAGGCUUCCUUUCCAUUGCUAGAACUCUGUUUUAGCACAGAGUUGCACAAGAUCAGCUUGGUAGCCAAGAAAUUCUUCAGAUGAUGCCUUCCAGAAACACAUCUAAAACUGGACUUUAAUGUUGCUGACUGUCCAGUAUAUGUCCUAUAACUUUUCUUCCACAACACCUGUUAAUUACCAAUGCUGUAAGUUGCUCUACAGGAUCAAAAGGACAAAUGGAUACACAAAUUUCUGAGCCACCUAGCAUCAAGGCCGUGUCCAAUGUUAUAACAUCAGAGAAUAUUACCCACACCUAGGACCAUGUUAAAUGAGGCUGAUGCCAUAUUUGGAAUCUGUGGGAAUUCAAGAAGAGAUAUCACAAGGUAACUUUAGCUCCUACUGCAGUGCCAUAGGUUACUGUGAGUUAUCCAAAUAUUAGUGUUUUGAUUAGUGGAGCAAAAAUGACAUAACAAGAGUUGGUUAUUUUAUUCUUAGUUGUAUUUGAAGAGCUUGUAUUUGCAAACACUUGUAUCUAUAUAGUGGAACCUUAACUUGUUUAAGUUGUUUCCCUGGUUUUGCAGUUUUGGGAUGUUAUGCUACACACUGCUCAACCAUCCAAUUAUCCCAGACUUAUUACUUAAAAUUUCUUAUACGUUUAAAUUUAACUAGAUUUAGGCUUGAUUGUUAACGCUGCUGUUACAUGGUGAUUUAUGGGUAAAUAGGGUGACCAGACAUCCCGAUAAAAUCAGGACCGUCCCGAUAUUUGGGGUUUGUCCCGCAUCCCGAUAUCAGCUGGCAGCGCUGGUUUUUUUUUGCUCCGCCGGCGAGACUGACUUGGCUUUUUUUUUUUUUGCACCCCCUCCUCCCCAUGUGUCCCGAUAUUUUCUUUCCCUCAUCUGGUCACCCUAUGGGUAAACAACAAGAUUCUGUCCCUUAUCUGAGGAACGUAUACUGUAGGUUAAAGCAUAGCAUAAAAAGAUGACAAACCAUAGCAGGAAAAGCUAAGGAAGAUGAGCAAGACAAUGGGGCUCUUUGCACUGCAC
rnacentral:lncRNA from 1 species